UCUCUGUUAGUAUAGUGGCAAGUAUACCCGCCUGUCACGCGGGAGACCGGGGUUCAAUUCCCCGACAGAGAG